rnacentral:rRNA from 1 species
GCAUAACAUCUUCUGGACUGCGGUUCGGGAGAUCAAAGGAGCAAUCCGCUUGUGGAGGGGCCCGCGGCCGAUUAGCUAGUUGGUGAGGUAACGGCCCACCAAGGCAAAGAUCGGUAGCCGGUCUGAGAGGACGCACGGCCACACUGGAACUGAGACACGGUCCAGACUCCUACGGGAGGCAGCAGUGGGGAAUCUUGCACAAUGGCCGAAAGGCUGAUGCAGCGACGCCGCGUGAGUGAUGAAGCCCUUCGGGGUGUAAAGCUCUUUCGGCGGGGACGAUAAUGACGGUACCCGCAGAAGAAGCCCCGGCAAACUACGUGCCAGC